rnacentral:rRNA from 1 species
UACAGAGGUCUCACGCGUUGUUCGGAUUCAUUGGGCGUAAAGGGUGCGUAGGCGGCGCGGUAAGUCGGGUGUGAAAUCUCGGGGCUUAACUCCGAAACUGCAUUCGAUACUACCGUGCUUGAGGACUGGAGAGGAGACUGGAAUUUACGGUGUAGCGGUGAAAUGCGUAGAUAUCGUAAGGAAGACCAGUGGCGAAGGCGGGUCUCUGGACAGUUCCUGACGCUGAGGCACGAAGGCCAGGGGAGCAAACGGG